UACGUAGGGUGCAAGCGUUAUCCGGAAUUAUUGGGCGUAAAGAGCUCGUAGGCGGUUUGUCGCGUCUGCCGUGAAAACUGGAGGCUCAACCUCCAGCCUGCAGUGGGUACGGGCAGACUAGAGUGCGGUAGGGGAGAUUGGAAUUCCUGGUGUAGCGGUGGAAUGCGCAGAUAUCAGGAGGAACACCGAUGGCGAAGGCAGAUCUCUGGGCCGUAACUGACGCUGAGGAGCGAAAGCAUGGGGAGCGAACAGG
rnacentral:rRNA from 1 species